AUCCAAACUAGAUGGUGGAUAUACAUUGGAACAAUCAGGAAUCAUCAAAGUGUUUUUCACAGUGGCUGUGCCAUUUGACAUUCCCACCAUCAGUGUACAAGGAAAGCAUUCCCAGACAGCUUAUUACGAUGCAUAACAUUUGACUAACAUAAAUUCAAAGUCGAGCAAAUGAAGGCAAAAAGGCAGAAGGGAAGAGUGAAAAUGGACCCAGAAAUAGGGCGAAGCAUGUCUGCCACACUCGUCUACCUGCUGACCAUGGGUGAACCUCAUGGUGAGCUGUUGACCACAGGAUUCACCACAGAAUUCACUCUCCAGAAGACAAAAACUGCUGUGGAGAUUGGAAAAUUUAUCUUAAAAUAUUAAGGUCAGACAAGAACCUCUGUCAAGGAACAGGAAGUCGUGCCCUGAGGAGACAAGUAGAGGCUGUAGCCAUGGGUGGCUUUGGGGUAGUAGCUGUUGGCUGUGCCUAGAAGGACAUCAUGAAAGUUUUUUGCAACUACAAAGGGCCCAGAGUUUCCCUUGUGAAUGAGCUCAGCAUCCUCACGUUUCCAAGAGGAAUCAACACUGCAAUUCCUCGGACCACGGUGGCUCUCUUCCCAGCACACCUUUGCUGUGACCUGCACCCCUGCAUUGUCCUCAAAGACACACUAAGAAAACACAUUUCAGAAGGAAGGACGUAACGGAGCUCAUGAUCCAGUUCUGCAUUUGGCGUGGCCCCAAAGACACUGUGUGCAGAGUCAGAAAUAUGCUCCCCAGUUGGACUCCAUGGGAUACUGUUUCAAAAGAGCUAUCAUUCUUGUCUGUUUACCACAUAUCUUGUUCUAAUAGGCUCUUCUUUUCCAGAGUUUUUUAUUUUCCCUGGCAUUUUGUGUUUUGGUAAUUGCCUACAAGAAUAGUUCUAUAACAGAAAUCAACAAUGAAAACCAAAUUACCCCUGCCCACAUCCUUUCAUUCCUUUUUCAUCUCUAAUGAUAUUUUCUGUAUGAUGACUAACCCAGACUGACGUAAUUUAUCAAUUGAUCUUGACGAUGUACAUUAGAAAAUGCAUUCUGCAGGCCCCAGCAGGCCAUCUUCCAUGUGCGCCACGUAGCUUUAGAAAACCUAUUAGUGCAACAGAAAUAUCUAAAGCCCAGCCUUUUUGCUAAGAAUAUUAGAACUGGUGCUAAUUACUUUAUUAAUCAUAAAGUGAAACAGCCGUGCUAUGUCACCACAGCCGUAAAAUAAGUGGUUUUAUGGCAAAAGUAGUUAAAGAGAAAGGACAGAUUGGAUUUAUAUACUCAGCUGGUUAAAAAAAAGAAAUUAUGCAUACCAGCAAUUUUCUUUCUUUGGUUAAAUGUUCAUUAAAUGUGUACCACUAAAAACCAUUUGUAACUAAUUCCCUAGUGGGUCCAUGCCUUAAAAUAAUUUAUUUUAAAAUACAAAUUAAGGCUUAAAUUUGCCUUUUUAUUAAAAAUAGGUAUAAUGAGUCAACAUAUCUCCUAAGAGAAAGGAGCGUUGCAGACAUGCUGAUGAGAGGAAUCUUGUCGCCAAAACCUGGAGGCCAUGCUGGUGUUGGGGACUUAGGCUAUCCUGCAGGUGCCUGUCACCAUUAAGGGCGGCAGAAUUCAGAGGCUUUGGUCCAGGUUAAAGCACAGAGGUGGCCACUGUCUGAAGACAGGGACACCACAAUGACCAUCAUUGAGGGCGAUGUUUAUGCUUCCAUUGUUAGUUUAGAUAUUUUGUUUUCUUUAAAGUCAGUAUUGUCUCUGAGUAAAUAAAAACAAUCUCCAGUUUCUGCAAGUAUGCUUGGCUUUCACACACUUUGCAAUUAAAAAAAACUAGGAUUCAUCAACAUUUCACUUUCUGUUACUGAUUAAAGCCACUUGUGUGUGUGUGUAUGUGUGUGUGUGUGUGCGUGGGCAUGUGUGCAUGUGAUUAGAUGGAAGAGAGAGCAUUAAUGUUUGUUAAGUGCUAAUACAUUUCAGACACUUUAUACAUUAAUCUAUUAAUGGCUAUCUCAUUUAAUAUUCAAAACAGAUGUGUUAUAGGUGGCCUAUCUCCUGUUUACAGAAAACCAAGGUGCAAUAAUCUCUCUCUGAAGGUAACUCUGUUGUGGCAGAUAUGGAAUCCUGACUCAAGACUGCCAGAUUCCAAAAUCCAUGCUCUUUAUCCUGUACCAGGGCAUUUCCAAUUAAAAUGCAAGACAAAAUUACUAAAUGCUGAGUGCAGGCUGAUUUCACAAAUCAAAAUGAUGAAGUAGAUAAUAUUGUCUCCAUUUUAGCACUGGACACUAAAAAGAGGGUAAGUUGUCAGGGUCACAUAGUUAGUGAGUGAAUUCCAACCCAAAUCCAUUAUGGGAGUCUAGGCCCCCUUGUCUAUGGUCUCAGUAUCCUCUUCCAUCAGAUAAUUUCCAGCCCUAGGAAUUUUCUUCUUGUAUUAAAUAUCUCCUGGCUCAAAGUUAAAUUCAUUUUCUUUUGCUUUGCCUUUUAUUUAUUUAUUUAUUUAUUUAUUUAUUUGAGACAAAAAUCUCUGUUGCCCAGGCUGGAGUGCAGUGGCACAAUCUCAGCUCACUGAAACCCCCACCUUCUGGGUUCAAGUGAUUCCCCUACCUCAGUCUCCCAAGUAGCUGGGAUUAUAGGCAUGUGCCAUCAUACCCAGCUAAUUUUUGUAUUUUUAGUAAAGACAGGGUUUCACCAUACUGGCCAUGCUGGUCUUGAACUCCUGACCUCAGAUGAUCCACCCACCUCAGCCUCCCAAAGUGCUGGGAUUACAGGCAUGAGCCGCCAUGCUCAGCCUGCUUUGCCUUUUGUGAUCAAAAGAAAAAAUACCACCAUCCUUCAGGUAAUCCUAUCAACAUAGUGUAAACUCUUCAAAUUACCCUUCAAUGGGUUAAACAAUCCCAAAUUACUAAGUUGUCUCUUGGUGAAGACAGUAUUCCUAGUUACUUCUGACCACACAGAAUCAAUACAAAGAAACCAGACCAAAGAAACUGCCUCUUAAAAUAGAACAUGCCAUCUUUUUAUGUCACAGCUGGGACUAGUAUUGUUUCCAACGAACAGAGUGUGGAAUUGAGGACUCAACUUAGGUGAAGCUCUGCUACGGAGUAGGCAACUAUCAGACGUUGGCUCUUUCCUCUCUCCUUGAUGGGCCCACUGGCCCAGGAUAUGAGGCCUGAGAGAUUCCUAUAGGAGGAGAGGAUGAAUAUUUUGACAAGCAGGUAACUUUAGAAAGAUGUAGGUAGCAGAUCUUAGGGAUUGGUGUUCUAGAACAGGGGUCCCCAGCCUUUUUGGCACUAGGGACCCAUUUCGUGGAAGACAAUUUUUCCAUGGAUGGGAGCAGGGAUGGUUUCGGGAUGAAACUGUUCCACCUCGGGUCAUAAGGCAUUAGUUAGAUUCUCACAAGGAGUGCUCAACCUAGAUCCCUCGCAGGCACAGUUCACAAUAGGGUUCAUGCUCCUGUGAGAAUCUAUAGCUGAUGCUGAUCUGACAGGAGGCGGAGCUCAGGUGGUAAUGCUCACUUGCCCGCUACUCACCUCCUGCUCUGUGACCUGGUUCCUAGCAGACCACGGACCAGCAUGGUUCCAUGGCCCAGAGGAUGGGGACCCCUGUUCUAGAGCAAAACUCCAAUUGGAAAGUAAGGCAAAGAGACCAAGACAGGAAUGUAGCAAUAACUCUGGAGUACAAGGUAGGGCAGAAAUUAAAGUACACAUUCAAGCAAGGAUUACUUUCUUAUUCCAUGCAUUACCAAGUCAUUUGGAUCCUUAACGUCCUAUAUGGAUGUGAUAGGUCCCAGGGCCUGGGUUAAGCUUGAGGCAGGACCAGCUGCUUAAUUUGUGGGCUGUAGUGCAAAAUGAAAUUGCAGGCACCUUAUUCAAAAGCUAGACAAAAGUGCUGUUAAAGGUUCCAAAAUAUUAAACUCUUUCUUUUCUUUCUGGUUUCUUUCCCUAUUAUGCUUUAAAAAUUUUUGCUAUUUGAUAUUGCACUCCCUCAGGCAUGGGGAUAUUUGCAAGGGUCAGUAUGGACUCUCACAAGUGCCUGGGGACCCCUAUUUGUGACUUUGCAGUGUUACCCACUAGCUUCCAGGACAGGACAUUCUCUGUCAGCCCCCAGAUUGAUGUUCUCUGCCCAGCCAGGUUAUGGGAGUCAGCCCUAACUCACAGAGGACUGGAGACUCUCAAGGGAUCGCAAUCUCAACACUGAGAAGUGGUUGGGACCUGGGUUGGGUAGGCAGAGGCUCACACCUGCCUGGAUGUGUACUGAACAGCCAUGGUACUGCCAGCCGGAGAUGAGGACAGCUGCCAGCCAGGGAUGGGGACAGCGACCACCAUGCCCUGCCCUGAGACACCCCUGAACCUUCCAGCAUCCUUGUCUGUGCACAGGUUCUCACUGGAGGCAGAGAGUGAUGAGAGAAUGACAGCUUGCACCCCGCCCCAUCCCCAGCCUAAGUGAGCUCACUGAUGCCCCAGGCAGUGGGCAGGAUCCCUUGUGGGGUGGGGUGGGGGAGGUGGGGCAAGGGCAGGGCACCAGGACCGGGAGGCAGUGAAGAACCCUUCCCAGGGAACAGGGAGAUUGUGGUGGUGGGGCCUGAGUGUGAAACAAGGCUCCCACAUCCUAGUGCAUUCUUCACUUUCCCGUCAGAAAUAGGAAUUCCAAGAUAAAAUUAAGAAUUUCAGGAUGGUGAUCUUAGGAGCUUCCCUUGCCAAGCCGGGAGUUCUGGACACCUGCACUGAUUUGUGACCUCAGCCAGCCUUGAUUUGAGGUGCAGCCUCAGUGGCUCUGGCAUAGAUAUCGGAAAACCACUGAGCUGGAACACCAGGCAGGUCACAGGGGUUUGAAUUUGUAAUUCAACAUUUCUAUUGAUACGUGCCUUUUAUAAAUGCUCCGUGGCCUUUUAAUAACUUGGUGUGUUAUCUUGCCCAGAGUUUUCGUUCACUAUUAAUACUGAUUCUGUCACUGUUGAGAUAUCUGACUCUGGACAGACUCUGCUCCUUGGCUUCCUCUUCUCUUUUAGUUCUUAUUCUUUGUGAUUCUGCAAACUUAGUUUUAAAGCCUCAUAUUGGAUAUUAAGACAAACGACAUCAUACAACGUAGUUCACCCUAUCCAUUGAUCUGUCUGGCUUCUGUGUUUAAACAAAAGGGACUGGCAGUCUUGCCAAAUCCCUCACUCACCCUAUGUUGUAUUUUAGAUCAUGUUUCAAGAAAGGGAGGCCCCUGUGUCCAGUUAUUGAUUAGCUGGGGAGGAAAAAAAUGGCUUUGCCUCAUUUCUUGUUAGGUAGCAAUCCACGUAUCUUUCCAGUAAGCAGCAUGACACUUCAGGGGGCUCUGGAAGACAUUUGACACUCUGGCGUCAGAGAGCCAAGGCCUGGGAGGUGUGUCCAGCAGUGUGUGUAUCCAGGAAGCAGCAGAGGAACACAGCAUCUGACAGUUCUGUCACUCCUGGCUGUGUGACUGCAGGCUAGUCACUUUCUGUCUCUGGGCUUCAGUUUUUCCAUCUUAAAAUAAAGAGAUUGGACUAGGUCAUCUCCAGGGUUUCAUCUGGCUCCAAAAUCUAAGAUUUUAUGACUGUGAAUCAACAACUUCCAUCUUCUCAGGGGCCUCCAGUCAAGUCAUUCUGGGGAUCACAGUCUUUCAUAAUCUCUGAAGCUUCAUUUCUCAAAACAGCUCAGAGCGGGCCUGUCAUGGUGGCUCACGCCUAUAAUCCCAGCACUUUGGAAGGGUGAGGUGGGUGGAUCACCUGAGGUCAGGAGUUCGAGACCAGCCUGGCCACCGUGGUGAAACCCCAUCUCUACUACAAAUACAAAAAAUUAUCUGGGUGUGGUGGCGGGCGCCUGUAAUCCCAGCUACUUUGGAGGCUGAGGCAGGAGAAUCACUUGAACCCUGGGAGGCAGAGGUUGCAGUGAACUGAGAUGGCGCCGUUGCACUCCA
rnacentral:lncRNA from 10 species